GUCGCCCUCGCCACCGCGCUGGUUCGAUGCCGGGCCGUGCGUUUGGCGGUGCACACCCGAGGCCGCUUGGGUACACGCUCCAUGACCGUCGGCCGGAGCGUUUAGAGGAGCCGGGAGUGACUGCCGUUUGCCGCGCACUUUCUGUGACGCACACGCUGAGCUACGUGCUUUCAGUAGUUGGCCUUACUCCUUUAAUCCUGUGAACUCGGAAUUACAUACCCGUAUUUGCCAGAUGAGGACACUACGUGUCUCCAGAGCAGCUCAAUUCCUGGGAAAGAAGUUUCAUCAAAUUUACUACAGUGCUUUAUGAAGCAACACUGUUCUCAGCAUUAUCCUUCUGAACGAAAUGAAGUAAGAAAACAGUGUAAGAGAAUCACAGAACAGCCAGAGUCCUGAUCGAACCAUGCCUGAAUACCACCCCUCCUCUCUACUGUCAAAUGACAAAAAUAAAACAAUCUAGCAACGAG